rnacentral:rRNA from 1 species
UAUGCCCCGNUCCCCGCAAGGGGCGGUUCCACAGGUGCUGCAUGGCUGUCGUCAGCUCGUGCCGUGAGGUGUUGGGUUAAGUCCCCUAACGAGCGCAACCCCUGGGGUCCGUUGUAGGUUUCGGGCCCGACUGCCGCGCGCAACGCGGAGGAAGGUGGGGAUGACGUCAAGUCAGCACGGCCCUUACGUCCAGGGCGACACACACGCUACAAUGGCCGGUACAAUGGGACGCCAAGCCGCGAGGCGGAGCCAAUCCCCCAAAGCCGGUCUCAGUUCGGAUCGCAGGCUGCAACUCGCCUGCGUGAAGCUGGAGUUGCUAGUAACCGUGGGUCAGCACACCACGGUGAAUACGUUCCCGGGCCUUGUACACACCGCCCGUCACACCAUGGAAGCCGACAACACCUGAAGCCGGUGGGCCAACUCCGCUCGUUCGCGAGCAGAGAGGCAGCUGUCGAGGGUGGGGCCGGUGACUGGGGUGAAGUCGUAACAAGGUAGCCGUAA